GAGGGUAUAGCUCAAGUGGUAGAGUGCAUGCUUAGCAUGCACUAGGUCCUGGGUUCAAUUCCCAGUACAUUAU
rnacentral:tRNA from 1 species